ensembl:lncRNA
UGAAUUAGAAUUUUGACUAGGCAAAUCAUAUUUAAAGAUAUCUUGAAUUGGAAUUAUGACUAGUCAAAACCCAUUUAAAGAUAUCUGCAAUUUAAUUAUGGAUAUCCCAAUCAGAUUUGUGACUAGGAAGAUCUUUCUUUGUAGAUAUCUGCAUUUAGCUUUGUGACUAGGACAAAUCUCAAUAGAGAUAUCUUGAAUAAACAUUCUGCCCAGUCAAAAAAAGAAAAAAGAUAUCUUAAUAGUGUAUUCAAAUCACCCUUUGCUAAUCCCCGCCUUUUCUUUCUUGCCAACCAAUAGGCAUAUGCCAUUUCAAAACACACCGGUCUUCAGGAGCGCGCCAAAGAAGUCUGAUGACUUGCAUACUCUGGAUUGAUCUUUUACAGGUUUCUGCAUCUUUUGGUGUAUUGCAUUAGUACACAAAACAAAACUAUUCUGCAUAGGUGAAUAGUUUUAUUAUUACUUUAUUUAAUGGACUGCCUAGGAUAAUAUCUGUGGUCAGACUGAAAUACAUGAUGGCAAGUUUUAAUAAUUUUUUGUCCUAUACUGUUUGACCUAUUUUAAGUAAAUUUUCUAACGCAUGUAAUGUUUCUCUCAGUUUUCUGUCAGCCAACAAGACAGCUUACCAUGUCAUCAGAGCAAGAACCUCCGUCAGCAAUAUUUGACAGAGUUUUUAAUACAAUUUCAAGAGCCAGACGAGAGCUUUCAAAUAACAAUAAUGAUGACCUACUUUCUUCAACUAGACGCCUUUUCCGGCGUCAGGUGCAUCAACUUCGCAGAACACCGGGGAGGCAGGAAAAUGCUGUUUGGCAGACCCACCUUUUCCUCCUUCCUGGCCCAGAUAUUGAGGUUUUACCCUCUACAACAGAGCUUGAACGGUUUGCACAGUUGGGUUUAGGUAGACCAGUGCAGGAAACAUCUGGGACAGGAACCCAAAGAUCAAAAAUUCCACUAAAUUGGACUCUGUCUGAAUUAAAUAACUUUGUCUGCCAGUGCUACCCAAAUGUGAGUUUAAACUUAAUAGGUUUCCAUUUGGCAAGAGCAGGCAAAGGACGCAAGAUCCAAAAAGUUCAUGUAAAUUCUAUGAGGGAUUUAAAAAAAGCAGUUGGCAAAAGCAGGCUCUAUAUUGUCCCACGAGCUGAAGUUUUGCAGGUAUGACUUUGCAGAACAAAGGCACAAUACUCAAAUGAAAGAUCCAUUUCUUUAUGAUAUGACAAGUAGAAUUGGAUUUUAAUUUAACCUUAAUGUACAUUUAAAGGGGUCUUAUUAUGCUCUUUUACAAAGUCUUGAUUUAGUUUUGGGGGUGUACUGGAACAGGUUCUCAUACUAGGUUGUUCGAAAAACACAUUAUUUGAAACAUAUUUUACAUUAUUAAAACACCUCUCUCCCCAGUCUGGCAUGAACAGCUUCAAAUGAAGGCCCGCCUUCUGAAAAACGAAAUGUGCUGUGAUUGGUUAGUUGGGCCAGUGUGUGCUGUGAUUAGUUAGCUGGGCAAGUGUGUGUUGUGAUUGGCAGCACUUGGCGCCUGCUCGGGAAAUGUAAUGCCCCUUACCAUAGCCGCCUGGCAGCUUCACUGUAAAUAUUGUCAGAAUCAAAUCAAUCUGAGCGUGAUUUAAACCCGGAUGAUUGUAACUACUCUAAAUUUGCCUAGCUUGGGAAAGCUAGCGUGUCUCUGACACAGUAAUAACACUCAAUAACCUUCUCUAGUGCAGCUCAACCAGGUCUUGUCCCAUAUGUCAAUAUCUGUGAUAUCACAAAUCCCGGAAAAUAUGCGUUGUAGUCCAAACGAGUCAUUCUUUGUACUUUUUGAAAAGUGAUUUCUGUUAAAUAAAAUAUCUCCUUUUGAAUUGGACUUUGAGCUUUGUAACUUUGCAGAUCUUUCGUAUGCUCAAACAGCAUCAUUACAGACUAACUAAAGAUGAAAAAGUGAAAAAGCAUAAUAGGACCCCUUUAAAAGGUUACAUUUUAGUUCACAUUCUUUGCUUUCAAUUAAAGCUGCAGUCCAUAACUUUUGGCGCUCUAGCGGUUAAUAAACAGAACUGCAUGCAUCUUGCGGAAGAACACUGUAGCUGGAGCUACUUCUCUGUUUAUGUCUAUGGCAAAUUACACAGGUACUGGGCUACUCCGCAGCAGUACCUACCCAAACCAGUCUAAAUAGUCCGAAUAUAAACACUUAUUACAGGUGUACCGUAGUGAUUCAGGACAAGCCAAAAACAUUGUUUGGAAAAUUGAUUCAUGGUGUACUGGCUUAUUAUAGAAAUUUUGUAAAUGUUAAACACAAAAAAGUUAUGGACUGCAGCUUUAAAUCUUAUUGUGAUGUUUCUGCACAGCGAACAUUUUUUUGCUAGGUGACAGUACAAAUAACUUAUAAUUUUAUGACAGUACAAAUAAAAUUACAGUGCAGUGAGCCAAUGUAUUCUUUGUUAUUGUUAUACACUGAGUUUGAGAG